GCCAGCCCCCCGACUUCCUAGUGCUGUGUUGGGGUUAACGGCACUAGUUGCGCCUGAAUUAGUGCUAUCGAAUGGUACCAGUCCCACAAUUAGUGCUGUUCUGGUGACCCAGCACUGACUAUUUAAAAACGUACAUUCCACGUUUCAAGCACUACUUUC